rnacentral:rRNA from 1 species
UACCAGCACCCCGAGUGGUCGGGACGAUUAUUGGGCCUAAAGCAUCCGUAGCCGGUUCUGCAAGUCCCCCGUUAAAUCCAGCUGCUCAACAGAUGGGCCGCGGAGGAUACUACAGAGCUAGGAGGCAGGAGAGGCAAGCGGUACUCAGUGGGUAGGGGUAAAAUCCGUUGAUCCAUUGAAGACCACCAGUGGCGAAGGCGGCUUGCCAGAACGCGACUCGACGGUGAGGGAUGAAAGCUGGGGGGAGCAAACCGG